UYCCGGGCCUUGUACACACCGCCCGUCACACCAUGAGAGCUGGUAACACCCGAAGUCCGUGAGGUAACCGUAAGGAGCCAGCGGCCGAAGGUGGGAUUAGUGAUUGGGGUGAAGUCGUAACAAGGUAGCCGUAGGAGAACCUGCGGCUGGAUCACCUCCUUU
rnacentral:ncRNA from 1 species